rnacentral:misc_RNA from 1 species
UCUCCGUUGGUGAACCAGCGGAGGGAUCAUUACCGAGUUUACAACUCCCAAACCCCAUGUGAACCUUACCAAACGCUGCUUCGGCGGGAUGCCCCGGGCGCGGGCCGCAAGGCCUCAGCCCCGGAACCAGGCGCCCGCCGGAGGCCCAAACCAAACUCUUGUUUUUGUAGAAUCUUCUGAGUGGCCUUUUAGGCAAAAAAUGAAUCAAAACUUUCAACAACGGAUCUCUUGGUUCUG